rnacentral:rRNA from 1 species
UUUUGCGCAGUGGGCGAAAGCAUGACGCAGCGACGCCGCGUGGAGGAUGAAGGCUUCGGGUUGUAAACUCCUGUCAGAGGAGAAGAAUUCCCGAGUAAUCGGGAUUGACGGUAUCCUCAGAGGAAGCCCCNGCCAACUACGUGCCAGCAGCSGYGGUAAGACGUAGGGGGCAAACGUUGCUCGGAAUUACUGGGCAGUAAAGGGUGUGUAGGUGGCUGAGUAAGUCAAAGAUGAAAUCCCAAGG